CAGGCUUAACACAUGCAAGUCGAGGGGCAUCAGGAAGAAAGCUUGCUUUCUUUGCUGGCGACCGGCGCACGGGUGAGUAACACGUAUCCAACCUGCCCUUUACUCGGGGAUAGCCUUUCGAAAGAAAGAUUAAUACCCGAUAGCAUAAUGAUUCCGCAUGGUUUCAUUAUUAAAGGAUUCCGGUAAAGGAUGGGGACGCGUUCCAUUAGGUUGUUGGUGAGGUAACGGCUCACCAAGCCUUCGAUGGAUAGGGGUUCUGAGAGGAAGGUCCCCCACAUUGGAACUGAGACACGGUCCAAACUCCUACGGGAGGCAGCAGUGAGGAAUAUUGGUCAAUGGGCGGUAGCCUGAACCAGCCAAGUAGCGUGAAGGAUGAGGGCUCUAUGGGUCGUAAACUUCUUUUAUAUAAGAAUAAAGUGCAGUAUGUAUACUGUUUUGUAUGUAUUAUAUGAAUAAGGAUCGGCUAACUCCGUGCCAGCAGCCGCGGUAAUACGGAGGAUCCGAGCGUUAUCCGGAUUUAUUGGGUUUAAAGGGAGCGUAGGUGGACUGGUAAGUCAGUUGUGAAAGUUUGCGGCUCAACCGUAAAAUUGCAGUUGAUACUGUCAGUCUUGAGUACAGUAGAGGUGGGCGGAAUUCGUGGUGUAGCGGUGAAAUGCUUAGAUAUCACGAAGAACUCCGAUUGCGAAGGCAGCUCACUGGACUGCAACUGACACUGAUGCUCGAAAGUGUGGGUAUCAAACAGGAUUAGAUACCCUGGUAGUCCACACAGUAAACGAUGAAUACUCGCUGUUUGCGAUAUACAGUAAGCGGCCAAGCGAAAGCAUUAAGUAUUCCACCUGGGGAGUACGCCGGCAACGGUGAAACUCAAAGGAAUUGACGGGGGCCCGCACAAGCGGAGGAACAUGUGGUUUAAUUCGAUGAUACGCGAGGAACCUUACCCGGGCUUAAAUUGCAGUGGAAUGAUGUGGAAACAUGUCAGUGAGCAAUCACCGCUGUGAAGGUGCUGCAUGGUUGUCGUCAGCUCGUGCCGUGAGGUGUCGGCUUAAGUGCCAUAACGAGCGCAACCCUUAUCUUCAGUUACUAACAGGUCAUGCUGAGGACUCUGGAGAGACUGCCGUCGUAAGAUGUGAGGAAGGUGGGGAUGACGUCAAAUCAGCACGGCCCUUACGUCCGGGGCUACACACGUGUUACAAUGGGGGGUACAGAAGGCAGCUAGCGGGUGACCGUAUGCUAAUCCCAAAAUCCUCUCUCAGUUCGGAUCGAAGUCUGCAACCCGACUUCGUGAAGCUGGAUUCGCUAGUAAUCGCGCAUCAGCCACGGCGCGGUGAAUACGUUCCCGGGCCUUGUACACACCGCCCGUCAAGCCAUGGGAGCCGGGGGUACCUGAAGUACGUAACAGCAAGGAUCGUCCUAGGGUAAAACUGGUGACUGGGGCUAAG
rnacentral:rRNA from 1 species